rnacentral:rRNA from 1 species
UACGAGGGGUGCAAGCGUUGCUCGGAAUUAUUGGGCGUAAAGGGUAGGUAGGUGGUCUCAUUUGUCUGGGGUGAAAGCCUUGAGCUUAACUCAAGAAGUGCCCCAGAAACGGUGAGACUAGAGUCUUGGAGAGGGUCGUGGAAUUCCCGGUGUAGCGGUGAAAUGCGUAGAGAUCGGGAGGAACACCAGCGGCGAAGGCGGCGACCUGGACAAGCACUGACACUCAACUACGAAAGCGUGGGGAGCAAACAGG